GGAAGUGACAGACAGUUCUUCUGUUGUGUCAGAUCCUGUUCAAUAUAAAUACUUGCAAUGUUAUUAAAGUAGACAUAUCACAUUGAUUGCGUUUGAACAACUUCUUCACGAACAUCCUUGCAAUGCUGACUUGCACCACGAAUGCUGACUUGCAUCACGAAUGCUGUCUUCCCACAACGGCGACUGAUGAGAGAGCCGUGGUGUAUUCAUGGACUGCCGGUGGUCUCCAGGGGCCGCCUCGCCCCCUUCAGCUCUAUUAAAUACCUCUAAAGUGUAUAAUUGCUGAUCAGAGAGGCUGUUUGGUGUGUAACGGC
rnacentral:lncRNA from 1 species